rnacentral:rRNA from 1 species
UGAAACAUCUAAGUACCCUGAGGAAGAGAAAACAAGAGUGAUUCCGUCAGUAGCGGCGAGCGAACGCGGAACAGCCUAAACCAGGGAGCUUGCUCCCUGGGGUUGUGGGACGUCUCACAUGGAGUUACAAAGGAACAGGGUAGACGAAGAGGUCUGGAAAGGCCCGCCGGAUAAGGUAAAAGCCCUGUAGUUGAAAGUCUGUUCCCUCCGAGACGGAUCCCGAGUAGUGCGGGGCACGUGAAACCCCGUAUGAAUCCGGCAGGACCAUCUGCCAAGGCUAAAUACUCCCUGGCGACCGAUAGUGAAACAGUACCGUGAGGGAA